rnacentral:rRNA from 1 species
UACGGGAGGCAGCAGUAAGGAAUAUUGGACAAUGGGCGCAAGCCUGAUCCAGCCAUGCCGCGUGUGUGAAGAAGGCCUUCGGGUUGUAAAGCACUUUCAGUAGGGAGGAAGCGUUGAGUGUUAAUAGUACUCAACGUUGACGUUACCUACAGAAGAAGCACCGGCUAACUCUGUGCCAGCAGCCGCGGUAAU